ACGUCCCGAGAUGUUCAAAAGUCAUCUUCUUGGUUCUUUCGGUAAAGUCAUCACGUAGAAUGGAAAUAAUAAAACAUAAUAAAAUAAUUCUCACGACGUUUCGGCCACAACGCAAGCAGCCGUCCUCAGGUGGAGAGCAGGUCUGUCGAGUAGACAGCGUCUGAAUGACAAGUUAUUUCGGCAAGGAAGAGGACGAGGAGUGCCGGGAAUAUUUGUCCGUGCGAACGGGAGCAGUGAUGGCCAGUUCCGCAGGACCAACGCACGCCAAUCCGUAAGGCAUGCCAGAUUAGAGCAAUAGAGUGUGUGGUAGUGCUACUCCUCCCGCUUACAUGCAUGCCACUUUUGAAAGGUCGGCGCAGAAACAG